CCCCCCCUCACUCUCUGAGAAGCGGUGAUGACCAUCGUAGGAAGCAAGAUCUAGAUGGCGAGCACCGGCUUUAUUUCCAAUUCGUCACCUCUCCACCACACCUUCGUCAAUGGUACAUCAUAAAGAGGGAAAUUAUCGGAAACUGGAAUUCUAGACCUGGAAACAAAGAAAAAGGAUAAAAAUUCUCAUGACUCUAAAUGACGUGAAAUUUCACGAGGAUUUUUUGUGGAAUAUAUCUGAAUUUAUGGAGCAAAGAAGUGUCAGAGGGAGGCCACCUGUGGCAUGGAAAUCCCACGGGCAGGCCUAGGCCCCCUCUUCUGCUAUGUGAUGUGUUCUGACCUAGAAAAAAUAAGAAGAUAAUUUCGAGACGAAGCGUCGCCGUCUCGAGGCGAAAACCUCGACUAAGGUCCUUUUGCUCUCCGACGGAGUGAUUCUACCGAGGAGACUUCCCUCUGGGAGGGGGAAAUUGAAGUCAUCGUCAUCACCAACUCUUCCUCUUUCAUGGGAGGACCAAUCUUCGUCAACAUCUUCACUAGCACCAUCUCAUGUCAAACCUUAGUUCAUCUUUUGUAUUCAAUGUCUGUAUCAAAACCUCAUAUUGGUACUUGUGCGUUACUAGUAGUGUUGAUUACGUCUUGUAGUGGAUGCUUGUUGGUUUGUUUGCUGGAAGAUAAUAUAUUCAGGUCUUUUAUCAUA